rnacentral:rRNA from 1 species
GACGAACGCUGGCGGCGUGCCUAAUACAUGCAAGUCGAACGCUGAAGGAGGAGCUUGCUCUUCUGGAUGAGUUGCGAACGGGUGAGUAACGCGUAGGUAACCUGCCUGGUAGCGGGGGAUAACUAUUGGAAACGAUAGCUAAUACCGCAUAACAGUAGAUGUUGCAUGACAUUUACUUAAAAGGUGCAAUUGCAUCACUACCAGAUGGACCUGCGUUGUAUUAGCUAGUUGGUGGGGUAACGGCUCACCAAGGCGACGAUACAUAGCCGACCUGAGAGGGUGAUCGGCCACACUGGGACUGAGACACGGCCCAGACUCCUACGGGAGGCAGCAGGAGGGAAUCUUCGGCAAUGGACGGAAGUCUGAACGAGCAACGCCGCGGGAGGGAAGAAGGGUUUCGGAUCGUAAAGAUCUGUUGUAAGAGAAGAACGAGUGUGAGAGUGGAAAGUUCACACUGUGACGGUAGCUUACCAGAAAGGGACGGCUAACUACGUG